rnacentral:rRNA from 1 species
GCUGGCGGCAUGCCUAACACAUGCAAGUCGAACGGAAACGAUGCUAGCUUGCUAGCAGGCGUCGAGUGGCGGACGGGUGAGUAAUGCAUAGGAAUCUACCUAAUAGUGGGGGACAACCUGGUGAAAACCAGGCUAAUACCGCAUAAUCCCUACGGGGCAAAGCAGGGGACCUUCGGGCCUUGCGCUAAUAGAUGAGCCUAUGUCGGAUUAGCUAGUUGGUGAGGUAAUGGCUCACCAAGGCGACGAUCCGUAGCUGGUUUGAGAGGAUGAUCAGC